rnacentral:misc_RNA from 1 species
GAUGAAGAACGUAGCGAAAUGCGAUAAGUAAUGUGAAUUGCAGAAUUCAGUGAAUCAUCGAAUCUUUGAACGCACCUUGCGCUCUUUGGUAUUCCGAAGAGCAUGCCUGUCCGAGCGUCAUUGCUGCCCUCAAGCACGGCUUGUGUGUUGGGCCUCCGUCCUCCUCCCGGGGGACGGGCCCGAAAGGCAGCGGCGGCACCGCGUCCGGUCCUCGAGCGUAUGGGGCUUCGUCACCCGCUCUUGUAGGCCCGGCCGGCGCUUGCCGACACAUCAAUCUUUUUUCCAGGUUGACCUCGGAUCAGGUAGGGAUACCCGCUGAACUUAAGCAUAUCAAUAAGCGGAGGA